CAAAGCUCGUGUGAGGGUACAGUAGCCAGCCAGUCCCGCAGAGCUGCCCAGUGGCCCUCACCUACUGGGAAGGUUGACGCCCCCGGCCGUGGAAACCGUCAUGGAGAAGAAAGGCCAAAUAUGCUUGGGGAAACGAGGCCAAACAUGCUUGCCUUACCGCACGCGUAAGGAGAUCCAAUAUCAAUAUUCAGAAGAAAAGGGGCACAGAGAGCACUGGAACCAGGAGGGCUGCAUCUCAGGAAGCCUGGAGAUGGUGGUUCCUGGCAGCCUCGCAGCUCCUGGCUUAGGACAUCAGAGGAGCCCUGCUGGAUCCGGCCACGGCCCAUCUGGUCCAGCAUCCCAGCUCAUGCAGUGGCCCGCCAGUGGCUUCCGGGCAUCUCGAGCAGAAGACGAAGGCAAAACCUUCACCUGCUCUCGACUCCCUGCAAANGGCCUUUAGAGGCNUCCUGCCUGUCUCUCCANCCUGGANGUGGUANCUGGGCAUCCAUUUUAACAGCCAGUGGCACAUUUAAACUCCAUGAAUUAAGAGGGGCCCUGCUGGAUCAGGCCACNGCCCAUCUAGCCCAGCAUCCCUCCCACACAGUGGCCNGCCAGUUGCAUCUGGGCAUCUCAAGCGGAAGGCAAAGGCAGAACCGUCACCUGCUUCCUCCCUGGCCGACGGGCCCGAAGACCCGUGUGAGGGAGGGCUCCUUGGACACGCAGGCGCUUCCAGAAAGCCAAAGCAAAGGGCCGCCCUGCCUUCUGUUCUCUCCACCCUGCAAAGUACAGCGGGGAGAGGAGAGGCCAGGGGCACAGGAGUCAAAGCAGACACUUCAGGGCCAGGCAUGGGAGGGUCUGAUCCGGACACAGCAGAGGUCGCCUUCCAGACAGGACUCAGACGGGCUUUUCAGAGGGAAACAUGAGGACAAGACGCCCAACGUUUUCCUUGUUCCUGCGGCCUCCGUCCCAGUCAGGCUGCUUUCUCCUGNGGUCCUCCACUGUUUCCCCUGCUCCCUGCCUCCGGCAACCAUCGUCCUGNCUGGAGAGGCAGAAGGCCCUCUGGCUGGGGCUGGCAGGCAUUCUCUGAGCUCCCAGAACCCGGGGGAUGCCACACUGCCGAGGGGCGCGGGGUCAUUCCUUGGCCUGUGGCUGCGAGGGAGUCUCUUCCUGCCUGGCUGCCGGGCCAACGGGCCAGGCCGGACGCGAGAGCCUGCGGCACUCCUUGCGCCCCGGCAGCCAGGCGGGCCGACGCUGCCCCCAGGC
rnacentral:lncRNA from 1 species